CGUGGGCGGGCAGCUACACAUGCAGUCGGACGGUAGCACAGAGGAGCUUGCUCCUUGGGUGACGAGUGGCGGACGGGUGAGUAGUGUCUGGGGAUCUGCCCGAUAGAGGGGGAUAACCACUGGAAACGGUGGCUAAUACCGCAUAACGUCGCAAGACCAAAGAGGGGGACCUUCGGGCCUCUCACUAUCGGAUGAACCCAGAUGGGAUUAGCUAGUAGGCGGGGUAAUGGCCCACCUAGGCGACGAUCCCUAUCUGGUCUGAGAGGAUGACCAGCCACACUGGAACUGACACACGGUCCAGACUCCUACGGGAGGCAGCAGUGGGGAAUAUUGCACAGUGGGCGCAAGCCUGAUGCACCCGUGCCGCGUGUAUGAAAAAGGCCUUCGGGUUGUAAAGUACUUUCAGCGGGGAGGAAGGCGGUGCGGUUAAUAACCGCGCCGAUUGACGUUACCCGCAAAAAAAGCACCGGCUAACUCCGUGCCAGCACCCGCGGUAAUACGGAGGGUGCAAGCGUUAAUCGGAAUUACUGGGCGUAAAGCGCACGCAGGCGGUCUGUUAAGUCAUAUGUGAAAUCCCCGGGCUUAACCUGGGAACUGCAUUUGAAACUGGCAGGCUUGACUCUUGUAGAGGGGGGUA
rnacentral:rRNA from 1 species